rnacentral:miRNA from 1 species
UCCAGCGCACUCACCUAUCCACUAAACAGCAACUUCAAUGUUGAAAGAUUUUAUUUGUUUUUUUAAAAACACCUAAUCUAGGCAAGAUUUUGCCUAGAUUAGGUGUUUUUUAGGUGUUUUUUAGGUGUUUUUAAAAAAACAAAUAAAAUCUUUCAACAUUGAAGUUGCUGUUUAGUGGAUAGGUGAGUGCGCUGGA